rnacentral:tRNA from 1 species
GAUUAAAUGGCUGAAGUUUAGGCGAUAGAUUGUAAAUCUAUUUAUAAGAAAUUGUUUCUUUUUAAUCA